AGAGCGAACGCUGGCGGCAGGCCUAACACAUGCAAGUCGAGCGCCCCGCAAGGGGAGCGGCAGACGGGAGAGUAACACGUGGGAACGUGCCCUUUGGUUCGGAACAACACAGGGAAACUUGUGCUAAUACCGGAUAAGCCCUUACGGGGAAAGAUUUAUCGCCAAAGGAUCGGCCCGCGUCUGAUUAGCUUGUUGGUGAGGUAACGGCUCACCAAGGCGACGAUCAGUAGCUGGUCUGAGAGGAUGAUCAGCCUCACUGGGACUGAGACACGGCCCAGACUCCUACGGGAGGCAGCAGUGGGGAAUAUUGGACAAUGGGCGCAAGCCUGAUCCAGCCAUGCCGCGUUGGUGAUGAAGGCCCUAGGGUUGUAAAGCCCUUUCGGCGGGGAAGAUAAUGACGGUACCCGCAGAAGAAGCCCCGGCUAACUUCGCGCCAGCAGCCGC
rnacentral:rRNA from 1 species